rnacentral:rRNA from 1 species
AGGCAUCUUCUUGUUUUUAAAGACCUAGCAAUAGGUAUGCUUAGGGAGGAGCUUGCGUCACAUUAGUUAGUUGGUGGGGUAAAGGCCUACCAAGACUAUGAUGUGUAGCCGGGCUGAGAGGUUGAACGGCCACAUUGGGACUGAGACACGGCCCAAACUCCUACGGGAGGCAGCAGUAGGGAAUUUUCGGCAAUGGAGGAAACUCUGACCGAGCAACGCCGCGUGAACGAUGAAGUAUUUCGGUACGUAAAGUUCUUUUAUUAGGGAAGAAUAAAUGAUGGAAAAAUCAUUCUGACGGUACCUAAUGAAUAAGCCCCGGCUAACUAUGUGCCAGCAGCCGCGGUAAUACAUAGGGGGCAAGCGUUAUCCGGAAUUAUUGGGCGUAAAGGGUGCGUAGGCGGUUAAAUAAGUUUAUGGUCUAAGUGCAAUGCUCAACAUUGUGAUGCUAUAAAAACUGUUUAGCUAGAGUAAGAUAGAGGCAAGUGGAAUUCCAUGUGUAGUGGUAAAAUGCGUAAAUAUAUGGAGGAACACCAGUAGCGAAGGCGGCUUGCUGGGUCUUUACUGACGCUGAGGCACGAAAGCGUGGGGAGCAAACAGGAUUAGAUACCCUGGUAGUCCACGCCGUAAACGAUGAGUACUAAACGUUGGGUAAAACCAGUGUUGAAGUUAACACAUUAAGUACUCCGCCUGAGUAGUACGUACGCAAGUAUGAAACUUAAAGGAAUUGACGGGACUCCGCACAAGCGGUGGAUCAUGUUGUUUAAUUCGAAGGUACCCGAAAAACCUCACCAGGUCUUGACAUGCUUCUGCAAAGCUGUAGAAACACAGUGGAGGUUAUCAGUUGCACAGGUGGUGCAUGGUUGUCGUCAGCUCGUGUCGUGAGAUGUUGGGUUAAGUCCCGCAACGAGCGCAACCCUUAUUGUUAGUUACCAGCACGUAAUGGUGGGGACUUUAGCAAGACUGCCAGUGAUAAAUUGGAGGAAGGUGGGGACGACGUCAAAUCAUCAUGCCCCUUAUGACCUGGGCUACAAACGUGAUACAAUGGCUGUUACAAAGGGUAGCUGAAGCGCAAGUUUUUGGCGAAUCUCAAAAAAACAGUCUCAGUUCGGAUUGAAGUCUGCAACUCGACUUCAUGAAGUUGGAAUCGCUAGUAAUCGCGAAUCAGCAU